AGAACCUGGUAAAGCUGGCCAUACAGAAAAUUAUUUGGGUUUUGCAAGCAAGUUGAUUACUCAUUUCUUACUUUAUUUGAAAAGGCUUGCAUCUGAGAUAGGAUAACAACAUAGGCUGGAGGGGGCUGUUGCCUGGAAAACAGCUCUGCAGAAAAGGAUCUGGAGGUCCUCAAACAUAAUCCAACAAACACGCUUGAAGAAAGAAGGCCAGACUCAUCCUGGGCUGUAUUAGCAAGAGUAUAGCAGCAGAACCAGAGAAGUGAUCAUUCCCCUCUUUUUGGCACCUGUGAGGACGCAUGUGGAGUAGGAGGCCAUCAAGUCACUCAGAGAUUGUAGCAUAUGAUGGACAUGGAGAAGCUGAAGGAGCUGGGUUCAUCUGGCCUGAGGAAGAGCAGGCUCAGGGAACAGCAGUGUCUAUAGCUUCCUGACUGGAGGAUACUGAGAAGAUGGAGCCAGAUUCUUCUUGGACAUGCCUAGCAAUGGAUUCAGAAGCAACAGAUACAAACCGGUACAUGGUAUAUUCUGAUUAGGUAAGGAAAUGGCAAUUUUCAGCACCUGGAAAGAUUCAUUCAUGGGCACAGAAAUAAGAAAUCCCUCCCUGCCACAUGUGGGCACAGUAUGCUUUACUGCAAAACUUAAAUAGGUACUGUAUGCAAGGGAGAAGUCUGAAAGGAACCCAGCCCCUUCUGACAGAUCAUAGGCAUUUUUAGAUUGAAGCUUUAGUCUCUGUAAAUGUCCAAAGUAUGUACAUUAUCUUCAGCUUUGAACCAGAAGAGCAGUGUAAGUAAGACUGGAGACCCUGCCUGGAGUGAAGCAGAGAACUGAAAAUGAUAGCGAAAAGUGCUGGGAGUGGAACACUUACUCCAUAUUCAGGAACUUUUGAGAUACCAAACACAAAAUACUUUGGAGUUUGUUUUAUUCCUUCAAACAAUGUUUCUUCCUGAUGAUAAGUUCUGUUUCUUCUUGAUGGCUAUAGCCUUCCAGACAUCUUAACUAGCUCUUAAUCUCCAAAACCCAAGUAUGCUCUUUAUCCACGUGCCACACAUCCAUAUAUGUGCACAAAACUCUGGUUCACUUAAAAUGUACAGCCCAGAGUCUGUGUCCUGGCUCUCCCGUACCAUUGCUGAUUCAGUUGAAGCAGCAUCAACUCAGUUUUAAAUCUUGAUACCUCACUUUGUCCACACGGGUGAAACACAGUUUGUUUUGAGCAGUGGCUGCUCCUAAUUCCAGUGUUCUCAGAUGGCAACCAGUCUCAGAAGCUGAACUGAUAGAAGUAGAAAAGCAAAACAUUCUUCCAAGUCCCUCGGCCAACUCAUUCAAUAUGCUAGAUCUGCUUCUAGGGGUCUUCUAGAGCUCUGCUUGUUUUGUUUUGCCUGCCUCUACUUUUAUUCGUAUCAACAACCAUCUUCUCUUUGUCCACACAUGCAAAGCAGAAUGCAAACAAAUGCAAAAAAGUACUCCAAAGCUUUCUCCCCUCAGUCACAAAAAGUCUCUGAUGAUGAACAGCAGCUUGUGUUCAGUCCAGCUACAAUGGUAUGUUAAUCUGCUGAGGGUGACCAGGGAAGCUGGGAGCGUUACCCUCAUAAAAUACCUCAGGUGCCCAGUGGAAGCAAAACCAACCCUGGUUAUUACAUAUGGAGCUCAGUUAACACAGUUUAGUAAAGAUAUUUUCUACUCAAUGAGGCACCAAACUGUUGUCAAUAUGACCUGGCUGAUGACAGCGUAUAAUUGUACUUUCUGAUGAGCUAGGCAGUGUGAAUUGGCUUGCCUCCAUAGGGGAAGCUCUUCCCACAUAAAGAGCACCUUCAUGCAAAUUUAUGUAACACCAUUAAAACCAAAGGUUUCUACAUUUAUUUGCCAACUUUGUACAGAAAUGGCUUCUAGUGCCACCAAAAUGCAAAAAAAUAAAAAUAAAAAAUCUUAUUCAAAAUGUAACAAUCACUCUGUGUAAAAGGACUGCAGCUGGCAUUAGACCUAAGCUCAGCUUCCAAUGUUGGAGGUUGAUUUUAGCCUUUAUAUCUUGGCCUACUGUUCCUCCACUUGAACAGAAUCUCAAGGAUACAACAUGAUCUUUUCAUGAUCCUUAGCUAUUGAAAUGCAUACAUUUAUGGAAUAUACGUGCACUCACUUGUGUAACUUUCCAUCAACUAGUCAAAAGAUUUUUCCCAGCAAAGGCUUUCUGUUUGCUGCAGUGACUGGCAUUACCUUUCUUGGGCUAGUGACAUUGAUCAUGUUUUCCAUCCAAGUUGUCACUGUUUAUGAAGAAGUUAACUAACAGAUUUUCCCAAAAUAAAAACAAAGAAAAACAACAUAAAUGGAACAGAAAAGGCUUUUUUCUUCUCCCCAGUUCCAAAAGCAAAAAUCUUGAAACUCCUUUGUUGCUAAGAAAUUAGAAGACACAGAAAAUUCUAAAGCAGUGUUGGUCAGCCAUGGACUUACCUGGAAGUAAUGUGUUUUUCUCUGUAGACACUUCUAUCUAUACAGGCAGAUGAUAAUUCAAUAACGAAUGUCAAUAGUUAAAUACCUCGGAAAGUAGCUUGCCACUACAUCAUUAAAAAGCAGGAGCAAUCCAUUGUGCUUGAUUAUAUGUGAGAAAUAAAACCACACAAAGAUUUUU
ensembl:lncRNA